GAAACUCUGAACAACAACAAAACACAGCGUGGAGGAGACGACUGCGAGCGAGACAUUUACAAACCAACUUAUGGAUCCAGCGCGUGGAAACAUUUUGGCUUUUGCAAACACGUCGGUCGCUGUUUGUAGAAUAUGUAGAAGCCAAAUAAAAAACCACGGAAACACGACGAAUCUUUCCGGCCAUCUACUAAGGCGCCGUGGGAUGAAACAACGCCGACAGUCAGGACCUCUAGCAGCGUCACCGCUGCAGCAGCAGCAGGAAAUGGCAGCCAAAUUCCUGGGAAAUGAAUGAAGAGGAAAUCUGCGAGUGGCAGCCUACCACGAGAUCGCUCUGAAAGGAGAGGGUGGAAAAGACAUGGCCCCUUUCUGCAACAUGGACCCGGGCCAGGGCUCACUAGAGCACCGAGAUGAAGAGUUACAGCACCUCUCAAACCCAACCGGCUGGAGUGAUAAAUACCCGGCUCUAAUGCACAUGCUUAAGAGUUUUUGACUGUAAAUAAAGUCAUGGGAGACAUGUUGUACUUACAUGGAGAAAAGCCUUGAGGAAAUGGCUUCCCCCCUUGAAAGCGACGAAUGGGUGUGUAUGUCUGCAGCCAAUCAGGAUGUAACUUCAUGAAGCCUGUUUUUUUAUCCCCGGUGG
ensembl:lncRNA